GGGAUUCGCCCCUUGUCCACAAACACACCCCCGUGCACGUUGAAGGCCCGGCUCGUUGAGUGGGUGGGCGACCGCCCAGGAUUCGUAGCCUCGCUUUCUUACACAAACUUCAGAAUGUACAUCAGAAUGUCUUACGCGUGUAACGCAUCGUAAUAUAACUUUCAGCAACGGAUCUCUUGGCUCUCGCAUCGAUGAAGAACGCAGCGAAAUGCGAUAAGUAAUGUGAAUUGCAGAAUUCAGUGAAUCAUCGAAUCUUUGAACGCACCUUGCGCUCCUUGGCAUUCCGAGGAGCAUGCCUGUUUGAGUGUCAUGAAACUCUCAACCCCUGCCAUCUUUGCGGAUGAGCGUCGGUUGGAUUUUGGAGGUUGCCGGACUCGUUCGGCUCCCCUUGAAAGCAUAGUAAAGCUUGGACCUGACCGACCGGGUGGACGUGAUAGAAAGUCACCGUCGACCGAAGGGUCCGUCGCUGAACGGUUCAAGCUUUGUUUGUCGUCUUCGGACGAACAUCUCUGACCUCUGACCUCAAAUCA
rnacentral:rRNA from 1 species